rnacentral:rRNA from 1 species
GACGAACGCUGGCGGCGUGCUUAACACAUGCAAGUCGAACGCUGAAGCUCAGCUUUUGUUGGGUGGAUGAGUGGCGAACGGGUGAGUAACACGUGAGUAACCUGCCUCCUUCUUUGGGAUAACGCCCGGAAACGGGUGCUAAUACUGGAUAUUCACUGGUCUUCGCAUGGGGGUUGGUGGAAAGGGUUUUUCUGGUGGGGGAUGAGCUCGCGGCCUAUCAGCUUGUUGGUGGGGUGAUGGCCUACCAAGGCUUUGACGGGUAGCCGGCCUGAGAGGGUGACCGGUCACAUUGGGACUGAGAUACGGCCCAGACUCCUACGGGAGGCAGCAGUGGGGAAUAUUGCACAAUGGGCGCAAGCCUGAUGCAGCGACGCCGCGUGAGGGAUGGAGGCCUUCGGGUUGUGAACCUCUUUCGCUCAUGGUCAAGCCGCAACAAUGGUUGUGGUGAGGGUAGUGGGUAAAGAAGCGCCGGCUAACUACGUG